rnacentral:lncRNA from 1 species
CCCCGGCACCCUCGGCUGCACCCCCUCAGCCCCUAACUCCCACCCCCAUCGGGCGGGUACUUACAGUUCCCAUCUGCAGAGGGGGGCAACUUUCUCCAGGCCAGCAGUGGCCGCCGCCGCCGCCCCCUCCAGCCGCCUGGGGCUCCACGCACCCUCCGGCCUGGGUUCGCGCCUGCCGGCCGGCCAGCCAGCCCUCCCCUCCCCCCCUGCGCUCGCCUCCUCGCCGUCUUCACCACAUUCCCCCCUGGUCAGUGGCGCACGCCCGGGGCCGAGCCAGAGGGAGCGGGGCGCGAGGAGGGUGUGCAUGCAUCGCCCGCCUUCUUCUUGCAGCGCACGCUGUACAUGGUAGUGAGGGGGCGAGCGAAGGUGGCACCGGCCCCUCAGCUGCUCCCGCGGCGGCGGCGGCUGCGGCUGCUGCGCUGUCCUCCGCCCCCCGCGCGGCGGCGACCACCGCGCUGGGAUCCCGCCGCCGCUUUCCCUCUCGCCGAGCCGCGGCCGCGGCCCCCUAGUUAGAAUUCGAACCGCUCCCGCAUUCUCUUGACGGUUUCAUUGCUCCAGGCGUUUGCAGGCUUUUUUGUUUUUUCCUUUUUAAAAAAUUAUUAUUCCUCUGUCCCUUCCCUAGCUGCGGCGCCCGGUCGUCAUUAUUCGGAACUCUUUAUCUCCGACAUCCUUUGGGGUGCCUGGGGAGGGAGGGGGCAGGGACAGCGUUGUUCUACGCCUGUGGCGUGUCCUGGCCGCCCGGAGGUUCUAAAAAAAAAAAAAAAAAACUCCUCAGAGAAAGUCGCGUCUUCCCCGGAGCCGGCGCCGAGGGGCUGGCAGCGCGGUAAGCAUGGCCGGGGAUCCCUGAGGCGUCUGCUCCGAAGCGGGUGCAGGGCCCCGUCCGGUGCACUUGUUUAUUGUCGCGCCUCUGGUGCGAGCCAAGCUGCAGCAGACAUGAUGGGCCCGGGGCGAAGCGGGCGCGCGGUGGCCGAUAGAUGGCAGCCGCGGGCGGAGACGUCCUUCGGCUCCGGCGGCGCCGCCGGAGCCCCCGCGCGGAUGGCACAUUCGGGGGAGAUGGAGGAGUCUUGCACGGUGUGCGUGAUGCGAGCGUGGCACUGUGCAGUCCUCAGACGGAGAGAGAGAGAGAGGAGUGGUGAGGGCCCCGCCGGUGCCGGGCUCGGUGGUGGUCAGGGGCGGCCGAGGUCAGCCCUGGUCAGCUCGCCUGCCUGCCUCCUGUCUUUCAGUGGAACGCAGCCGUGGCUGCUGCCUCAGGUGUGUGCGGGUAAUACCAGGAACUGUGAACGACUUUUUGGAAAGAAUGUGAAUAAUUUGGUGUGCACUGUAAAGCCAGGAAGCCCCUGGAUACAAGCAGUGUCGAUAGAAAGCCAGUUUGCUGAAGAGCCACCUGCUAAACUCCACUAGUGUCGUCACUACAGAUCCCUCUACUUAAUCAGAUCCGACUUCAUCGACAGCUUGCUCUGGUUAAUUACCUCAGUGUUUUAACUGAGUGCCUCAAGGUAUUGAUGUGGCUGAUGAGCACUUCAAGCCUCAGAACACUGGAACACUUGGCAGCACUCUGGAGGCAGCUCAUCAAUUUCUAAGGUAUUUAUUAUUUUUAAAAGCUCCAUAAAGUCUAUAGAUAUGUGGAUAUAUACAUGACAGUGGGUAAAGAGCCUAAUGAACUGAAAAUAUUUCAAAAAAGGAAAAAUCAUUUUCUUGUUAUUACUUAGGCCAUGUACUGUGAACCACUAUUGUGCUUUCUUUACAAACUCCAAGCGGCUAUUUUACAUAACAAUGCUUAGAAUUUUGACACGAUAUGAUAUUUUAAGUUAUUAGAGUCACUGAAUUGAGAAAUGGUAUUUUCUUAGUAUAGUAUGUACAUCAUUGGCCUAGGCAUCAGGAAACAAAUUUGUGGUUUCAAGUUAACUACCUGUGGUCUGUGUGACCUUGGUACUCUAGCAUGAUCACUGAAAGAGGUAUCUUCUCCCUAUCUGAGAAAAUAGUUUUCUCACCUACUUACCAAGCAAGGAUCAUCUUUCCACCUGCCAUGUGCCAUUUCCCAAAUCCAGUGUUCUUCAAUCUCAUCACAGGUUUUGUUGUUGUUUGAUGCUUUCUCUCUUGCCUUUAGGCCAUUGCACCUUCAUAUCAGUGCAAAAUUUGGAGGCAUGAUCCUGGAACUUUCUCACUUUGCUACUCACAUUUAUCCCUGCAUGUAUAUUUAUGUAUCUUUUUAUUGCAAUGUAGAUGUCAUUUCCUCCGUGGAAAACUUCCUGACUGUCCUCUUGGUCACAUACUAAAUUUCUUGUGUGUGCUCCCAUGACUCUAGGGUGAACAUAAAUCCUGUAUUUCCAGACAGUCCCAAUUUAUAUCUUAUUUCCUAACAACUAUUAAUAAUGAUCAGUUUCAGUGUUCCAGUUUGUAUAAUAAAUUAUACAGUUGCACUAUACA